UGUGGGGGCAGCUACACAUGCAAGUCGAGCGGAACGACUUAUCUGAACCUUCGGGGAACGUUAAGGGCGUCGAGCGGCGGACGGGUGAGUAAUGCCUAGGAAAUUGCCUUGAUGUGGGGGAUAACCAUUGGAAACGAUGGCUAAUACCGCAUAAUGCCUACGGGCCAAAGAGGGGGACCUUCGGGCCUCUCGCGUCAAGAUAUGCCUAGGUGGGAUUAGCUAGUUGGUGAGGUAAUGGCUCACCAAGGCGACGAUCCCUAGCUGGUCUGAGAGGAUGAUCAGCCACACUGGAACUGAGACACGGUCCAGACUCCUACGGGAGGCAGCAGUGGGGAAUAUUGCACAAUGGGCGAAAGCCUGAUGCAGCCAUGCCGCGUGUAUGAAGAAGGCCUUCGGGUUGUAAAGUACUUUCAGUUGUGAGGAAGGGGGUGUCGUUAAUAGCGGCAUCUCUUGACGUUAGCAACAGAAGAAGCACCGGCUAACUCCGUGCCAGCAGCCGCGGUAAUACGGAGGGUGCGAGCGUUAAUCGGAAUUACUGGGCGUAAAGCGCAUGCAGGUGGUUCAUUAAGUCAGAUGUGAAAGCCCGGGGCUCAACCUCGGAACUGCAUUUGAAACUGGUGAACUAGAGUACUGUAGAGGGGGGUAGAAUUUCAGGUGUAGCGGUGAAAUGCGUAGAGAUCUGAAGGAAUACCAGUGGCGAAGGCGGCCCCCUGGACAGAUACUGACACUCAGAUGCGAAAGCGUGGGGAGCAAACAGGAUUAGAUACCCUGGUAGUCCACGCCGUAAACGAUGUCUACUUGGAGGUUGUGGCCUUGAGCCGUGGCUUUCGGAGCUAACGCGUUAAGUAGACCGCCUGGGGAGUACGGUCGCAAGAUUAAAACUCAAAUGAAUUGACGGGGGCCCGCACAAGCGGUGGAGCAUGUGGUUUAAUUCGAUGCAACGCGAAGAACCUUACCUACUCUUGACAUCCAGAGAAGCCAGCGGAGACGCAGUGUGCCUUCGGGAGCUCUGAGACAGGUGCUGCAUGGCUGUCGUCAGCUCGUGUUGUGAAAUGUUGGGUUAAGUCCCGCAACGAGCGCAACCCUAAU
rnacentral:rRNA from 1 species